CAGUCGCCGCGGGAAUACGAAGGGGGCUAGCGUUGCUCGGAAUUACUGGGCGUAAAGGGAGCGUAGGCGGAUCGUUUAGUCAGGGGUGAAAUCCCGGGGCUCAACCUCGGAACUGCCUUUGAUACUGGCGAUCUUGAGUAUGGGAGAGGUGUGUGGAACUCCGAGUGUAGAGGUGAAAUUCGUAGAUAUUCGGAAGAACACCAGUGGCGAAGGCGACACACUGGCCCAUUACUGACGCUGAGGCUCGAAAGCGUGGGGAGCAAACAGGAUUAGAUACCCCAGUAGUCCCUGUCUCUUAUAC
rnacentral:rRNA from 1 species